rnacentral:rRNA from 1 species
UACGGGGGGGGUAAGCGUUGUUCGGAAUUACUGGGCGUAAAGGGCUCGUAGGCGGCCAACUAAGUCAGACGUGAAAUCCCUCAGCUUAACUGGGGAACUGCGUCUGAUACUGGAUGGCUUGGAUUCGGGAGAGGAAUGCGGAAUUCCAGGUGUAGCGGUGAAAUGCGUUGAUAUCCACAGGAACUCCGGUGGCGAAGGCGGCACGCUGGACCCCACCUGACGCUGAGGCGCGAAAGCGUGGGGAGCGAACAGG